AAGAAGGGAAAGAAAAUCGAUAUAAACUCUUUUGGACUUAAUGUUGAUGUUAACUCUGUCAUGACUGUUAGUGAAAGCCGCCAGAGUAGCUCUUCAUCCUCCAAAUCCAGCUCUGAAUCCUCAUCAAAAUCUUCAAGUUAUGCCGCUAGAGCAGAGACUGCCGCUUCAGCAAAGGCUAAAGAAACCACCGGUGCUAGAGCAGAGAAGGGUGAGAAGAAGGGUGAAAAGAAGGCUGAGAAGAAGGGUGAAAAGAAGGCUGAGAAGAAGGCUGAGAAGAAUGAGCAGAAGGCUGCUACUUCAUCAGCCAAAACCAAAGAAGCCACCUCGACCAAAGCUGGUCCAAGUGCUUCGACCAAAACUGGAACCACUUUCAGAGACACGACAGGUGGAUAUGCGGGAAGCCCGAGAGGAAGUCCCACUGCUGCUAAGGAUAAAACCGCAGGAAGCCCCA
rnacentral:lncRNA from 1 species